rnacentral:rRNA from 1 species
UGGGGAAUUUUGGACAAUGGGCGAAAGCCUGAUCCAGCAAUGCCGCGUGCAGGAUGAAGGCCUUCGGGUUGUAAACUGCUUUUGUACGGAACGAAAAAGCUCCUUCUAAUACAGGGGCCAUGACGGUACCGUAAGAAUAAGCACCGGCUAACUACGUGCCAGCAGCCGCGGUAAUACGUAGGGUGCGAGCGUUAAUCGGAAUUACUGGGCGUAAAGCGUGCGCAGGCGGUUAUGUAAGACAGAUGUGAAAUCCCGGCUCAAGCCU